GAUUCCGCAGUCUGUACGCUAUGCGUAUAUGCGAGGGACUGGCCAAAGGAAAUUAAAUGUGUAUAAUUAAAAACUAAGCUAGCCCAGCUGCAGGACAACUUCGGUACUCUUAUGACAGCCAUUUUGUCCAACGAUUUCCGAAAAUCGGUACGAUGACGUAGCCGAUCUUCUAGAACGUCCAGCAGCGACUAUGCAGGUUUGCGGUUCUUGAGAUGAGUCACGUGGCGAUGGCAUCGGUGCUUCCGGUAUACCGGAUGGAACGGGAGUGUCAACGGGAACCGGAAGUUCGGAGAGUCGACGAGAGAGACCGCAAGGGGAUAAUCAGUAAUCACGCGAGAUACGUUGAGUCACGUAGUGAUUCGGAUAGCAGAGGGACAAAUAACAAGGCG